rnacentral:rRNA from 2 species
GGAUGCGAUCAUACCAGCACCAAUACACCGGAUCCCAUCAGAACUUCUCAGUUAAGCGUGCUUGGGCGAGAGUAGUACUAGGAUGGGUGACCUCCCGGGAAGUCCUCGUGUUGUAUCCC